GUUUCCAGAUCGACAGACCGAACCAUACAAGUGAUUUGACUCACAUUUCGAUGUAACACAAGUUGACACUUGUUUAGUGAAUUAUUGGUUGCGAGUACGUGUCAAUGCAAAUAUGAUACUAUCAAUCAUGGCAUCUUAAAUAAUCAGCAUCCCGAUGUUACAUUUUUGCCAAUUGGAAGAUGUCAGACCGAUUAAUGCGAACCACUCUGAUAUAUAUAUACAUAUUUUCUUUUCAAUCUCA
rnacentral:lncRNA from 1 species